rnacentral:rRNA from 1 species
UACAGAGGUGGCAAGCGUUGUUCGGAAUUACUGGGCGUAAAGGGCGCGUAGGCGGCUUGGUCAGUCCCGUGUGAAAUCCCUCGGCUCAACUGAGGAACUGCACGGGAAACUGCCUGGCUUGAGUUCGGGAGAGGGAAGCGGAAUUCCGGGUGUAGCGGUGAAAUGCGUAGAGAUCGGCAGGAACACCAGUGGCGAAAGCGGCUUCCUGGCCCAGACCUGACGCUCAAGUGCGAAAGCUAGGGGAGCGAACGGG